GCGCUCGAAAUGGACCUGUUGCAGCCCGCUCGCGGCUCAGAACGAGACAAAUAUGAAAAUUAAUAGUCCCCGAAGCGAGCCCGAGGAAUAGAGCGAACGGAGCGUCGUCGGGUCCUUUUCCCUUUCGCGAAAGAAGAAACUCGAUUUCCCGACGAAGGACGGGAUUAAUUAUCUCCCGGGAAACAUGUACACGCGUGUGGAGACGCGGUUCCACGUCGUUAGGCAUCGACAAGCACCCACUUGGUGAGCAGCCCGAACUCGACGUAGGAGAGGAAUGCUGAACGCAGCCUUCGGGGAACAGGACACGCCGUCCUUCGCGGAUGCAGAAGUGGUGUCGGUGUUUACAUAGAAAGCGGGAAUUAAACGUUUAUGCUGUCAUCGUGUCUUACACGAUAAGGUGAAUGGAUAAAGCGAAGAUUGCGCGAGGCGGUGGUGUUCGUCACAUACGAAUCCGGCCCGUAUGCGA